CCUACGGGUGGCAGCAGUGAGGAAUAUUGGUCAAUGGGCGGAAGCCUGAACCAGCCAAGUAGCGUGCGGGAUGAAGGCCCUACGUGUCGUAAACCGCUUUUGCACGGGGAUAACACCCUCCACUUGUGGAGGUCUGCAGGUACCGUGCGAAUAAGGGCCGGCUAAUUCCGUUCCAGCCGCCGCGGUGAUACGGAAGGCCCGAGCGUUAUCCGGAUUCAUUGGGCUUAAAGGGAGCGUAGGUUGUUUUAUAAGUUAGCGGUGAAAUACCGAUGCUCAACAUCGGGGCUGCCGCUGAUAAUGUAGGACUAGAGAUCGGAUGCAGCAGGCGGAAUGUGUAGUGUAGUGGUGAAAUGCAUAGAUAUUACACAGAACACCGAUUGCGAAGGCAGCUUGCUAGGCCGGAUCUGACACUGAUGCACGAAAGCGUGGGGAUCGAACAGGAUUAGAUACCCUUGUAGUC
rnacentral:rRNA from 1 species